GGGUAUUCCAAUAAUGAGUAGUGG
rnacentral:siRNA from 1 species